UAGGGAAUCUUGGGCAAUGGGCGAAAGCCUGACCCAGCGAUGCCGCGUGUGCGAAGAAGGCCUUAGGGUUGUAAAGCACUUUCAGUUGCGAAGAAAAGCUGCGAUUUAAUACAUCGCGGUCUUGACGUUAACAACAGAAGAAGUACCGGCUAACUCCGUGCCAGCAGCCGCGGUAAUACGGAGGGUACGAACGUUAAUCGGAAUUACUGGGCGUAAAGCGCGCGUAGGCGGUUUGAUAAGUGGGAUGUGAAAGCCCCGGGCUCAACCUGGGAACUGCAUUCCAAACUGUCAGACUAGAGUGUGGUAGAGGGAGGUAGAAUUUCCUGUGUAGCGGUGAAAUGCGUAGAUAUAGGAAGGAAUACCGAUGGCGAAGGCAGCCUCCUGGACCAACACUGACGCUGAGGUGCGAAAGCGUGGGGAGCAAACAGG
rnacentral:rRNA from 1 species